rnacentral:misc_RNA from 1 species
AAGUCGUAACAAGGUAACCGUAGGUGAACCUGCGGUUGGAUCAUUACUAAUCAUCCCCCCCCCGUCGGCAGGGUGUGGUGGGUGGUGGCUCUCCGCUGCCAUCCAUCCCCCCGUCGGCAACACCCCAUGUGCAACUCUCCUGUAUUUGGCGGGCGCCCACCGCUCUUUGCUCCCCAUUCUGCUGUGCCCCCUCCCCCCUUAACCGGGGGGAGAGGGGAGCAGCAGGGAGAGUGGAGGGAGGUGACGCCUUGCGGGCCUCACCGCCCGACCGCCAGCCAACUUUUACAUCACAUACUAUAGCACACUUCCUCGGAAGCAGCAACCAACCCCCCUACAACUAAACCAUAAAGGGCCGCAAGGUCCGAGUAAAUUUAAAAACAACUUUUGACAACGGAUCUCUUGGCUCUC